AUUGAACGCUGGCGGCAGGCCUAACACAUGCAAGUCGAGCGAACCUAGCUUGCUAGGUGAGCGGCGAACGGGUGAGUAACGCGUAGGAAUCUGCCCGAUAGUGGGGGACAACGUCUCGAAAGGGACGCUAAUACCGCAUACGCCCUACGGGGGAAAGCAGGGGAUCUUCGGACCUUGCGCUAUCGGAUGAGCCUGCGUCGGAUUAGCUAGUUGGCGGGGUAAAGGCCCACCAAGGCGACGAUCCGUAGCUGGUCUGAGAGGAUGAUCAGCCACACCGGAACUGAGACACGGUCCGGACUCCUACGGGAGGCAGCAGUGGGGAAUAUUGGACAAUGGGGGCAACCCUGAUCCAGCCAUGCCGCGUGUGUGAAGAAGGCCUUCGGGUUGUAAAGCACUUUAAGGGGGGAGGAAGGUUCGUUGGCUAAUAUCCAACGGAAUUGACGCUACCCCCAGAAUAAGCACCGGCUAACUCCGUGCCAGCCGCCGCCGUAA
rnacentral:rRNA from 1 species